rnacentral:rRNA from 1 species
AGCCGCGGUAAUACGGAGGAUGCGAGCGUAAUCCGGAUUUAUUGGGUUUAAAGGGAGGGUAGACGGGGGAUCAAGUCAGUUGUGAAAGGCUGCGGCUCAACCGCAGCUCUGCAGUUGAUACUGGUUCCCUUGAGUGCGGUUGAGGCAUGUGGAAUUCGUGGUGUAGCGGUGAAAUGCUUAGAUAUCAUGAAGAACUCCGAUUGCGAAGGCAGCAUACUAAGCCGUAACUGACGUUGAGGCUCGAAAGUGUGGGUAUCAAACAGGAUUAGAUACCCUGGUAGUCCACACGGUAAACGAUGAAUACUCGCUGUUGGCGAUAUAAUGUCAGCGGCCAAGCGAAAGCAUUAAGUAUUCCACCUGGGGAGUACGCCGGCAACGGUGAAACUCAAAGGAAUUGACGGGGGCCCGCACAAGCGGAGGAACAUGUGGUUUAAUUCGAUGAUACGCGAGGAACCUUACCCAGGCUCGAACGGCAAGCUGACUGUUAGCAGAGAUGCUUUCAUUCUUCGGACAGUUUGUCGAGGUGCUGCAUGGUUGUCGUCAGCUCGUGCCGUGAGGUGUCGGCUUAAGUGCCAUAACGAGCGCAACCCUUGCUGUCAGUUGCCAUCGGGUAAUGCCGGGCACUCUGGCGGGACUGCCAUCGCAAGAUGUGAGGAAGGUGGGGAUGACGUCAAAUCAGCACGGCCCUUACGUCUGGGGCUACACACGUGUUACAAUGGGCAGUACAGCGGGAAGCCACCUGGUGACAGGGCGCUGAUCCCGAAAACUGUUCUCAGUUCGGAUUGGAGUCUGUAACCCGACUCCAUGAAGCUGGAUUCGCUAGUAAUCGCGCAUCAGCCAUGGCGCGGUGAAUACGUUCCCGGGCCUUGCACUCACCGCCCGUCAAG